GGUUCACAGAGCAUGCUGCCCUCCAUCAACCUUCUCAUGGAUGUGUAUGUUGAUCUCUGCCAAUCACUUGGACUCCCUGUGUGGAUAGCAUCUCUGCUCCACACCGCUAAACGCCUGAGAAGUGACCACGCUCGACGCAAGAAGGUCUACAGACUCCUGCAGAGGAAACUGAUGUUCUACAAGGUUGGUGUAAAAGAGGGGGAUGUGUGCCAGC